rnacentral:rRNA from 1 species
AUUGAACGCUGGCGGAAUGCUUUACACAUGCAAGUCGAACGGCAGCACGGACUUCGGUCUGGUGGCGAGUGGCGAACGGGUGAGUAAUGUAUCGGAACGUGCCCAGUCGUGGGGGAUAACGUAGUGAAAAUUACGCUAAUACCGCAUACGAUCUAUGGAUGAAAGCGGGGGAUCGCAAGACCUCGCGCGAUUGGAGCGGCCGAUAUCAGAUUAGGUAGUUGGUGGGGUAAAGGCUCACCAAGCCAACGAUCUGUAGCUGGUCUGAGAGGACGACCAGCCACACUGGAACUGAGACACGGUCCAGACUCCUACGGGAGGCAGAAGUGGGGAAUUUUGGACAAUGGGCGAAAGCCUGAUCCAGCCAUUCCGCGUGCAGGAUGAAGGCCCUCGGGUUGUAAACUGCUUUUGUACAGAACGAAAAGGUUUCUACUAAUACUAGGAGCUCAUGACGGUACUGUAAGAAUAAGCACCGGCUAACUACGUGCCAGCCGCCGUAAGAC